UUUUAUGGAGAGUUUGAUCCUGGCUCAGGACGAACGCUGGCGGCGUGCUUAACACAUGCAAGUCGAACGGAAAGGCCUCUUGCUUGCAAGGGGUACUCGAG
rnacentral:rRNA from 1 species